UACGGCGAGGCGGGGCCGUCCGCGGUGGCGGCGGCUGCGAGGCUAGUGAGCGUUGGCCACCGGCCGGGGACGGGGCGGGGCGGUGUGCGUCCUGGCUCUGCCUGGCCGCACUAGGCAGGCGCGGGUAGCCGGGCCGGUGCCGUCCGGGAGGCGUAGGCAGGAGCCCGGGCAUUGCGGCCGCGGAGUGGAGAGGACCUGGAGCCCGGCGCCGGGCUAAGCGGUCUCGGGUCUCGGGGGGCGACGCACAGGCUUCAAGGGGUGCUUGGUUGGUCUGUCCCGUCGCUGCGAGGUAUGACUCGUCCUCGCGAGAUUUGUCCACAGGCGGAGCCUGGCAGAGGGUUGACGUCCCGGGCUCCUCAGGAACCAGUGCCCUAAGGACUUGUGUGUGAGGUGGCCUGCUGCCUGGCCCAUCGCCAUGCACACCCUUGUGUUCCUGAGCACACGGCAGGUGCUCCAGUGCCAGUCAGCUGCCUGCCAGGCCCUGCCCCUGCUGCCGAGAGAGCUCUUUCCCUUGCUGUUCAAAGUGGCCUUCAUGGACAAGAAGACCAUCGUGCUACGUGAGCUGGUGCACACGUGGCCCUUCCCGCUGCUCAGCUUCCAGCAGCUGCUGCAGGAGUGUGCCCACUGCAGCCGGGCCUUGCUGCAGGAGCGACCUAGCACAGAGAGCAUGCAGGCCGUGAUCCUGGGGCUGACUGCCCGGCUCCACACCCCGGAGACGGAGGCUGGCACACAGCCCCUCUGCAGGAAGCACGCACUGCGUGUGCUGGACAUGACGGGCCUCCUGGACGACGGCGUGGAGCAGGACCCUGGCACAAUGAGCAUGUGGGACUGCACGGCAGCUGUGGCCCGCACGUGCAUCGCACAGCAGCAGGGCAGGACUGCAGAGCCUGGGCUGGCCCCGGUUCCUGUGGAGGUGCGUGUGGACCUGCGGGUGAACCGGGCCUCUUAUGCGUUCCUGCGGGAGGCUCUCCGCAGCAGCGUAGGCAGCCCACUGCGACUCUGCUGCCGGGACCUGCGGGCUGAGGACCUGCCCAUGCGCAAUACUGUGGCCCUGCUGCAGCUUCUGGAUGCGGGCUGCCUGCGCCGUGUAGACCUGCGCUUCAACAACUUGGGCCUGCGCGGCCUUUCCGUCAUCAUCCCACACGUGGCCCGCUUCCAGCACCUGGCUAGCUUGCGGCUGCACUAUGUGCACGGGGACUCGAGGCAGCCGUCUGUGGACGGCGAGGACAACUUCCGCUACUUUCUGGCCCAGAUGGGUCGCUUCACCUGUCUGCGGGAACUCAGCAUGGGCUCCUCUCUCCUCUCGGGGCGGCUGGACCAGUUGCUCAGCACUCUGCAGAGCCCUCUGGAGAGCCUGGAGCUGGCCUUCUGUGCCCUGCUGCCUGAAGACCUGCGUUUCCUGGCACGAAGCCCACAUGCUGUCCACCUCAAGAAGUUGGACCUGAGUGGCAACGAUUUAUCCGGCAGCCAGCUGGAACCCUUUCAGGGUCUGCUACAGGCAGCAGCAGCCACGCUACUGCACCUUGAACUGACCGAGUGCCAGCUUGCUGAUAGCCAGCUGCUGGCCACACUCCCUGUGCUGACUCGUUGCACCAACCUCCGCUACCUCGGCCUUUAUGGCAACCCGCUGUCCAUGGCAGGCCUCAAGGAGCUCCUGCGGGACUCGGUGGCGCAGGCUGAGCUGCGCACAGUGGUGCACCCUUUCCCUGUGGACUGCUACGAAGGCCUGCCCUGGCCGCCGCCUGCUUCUGUCCUGCUGGAAGCCUCCAUCAACGAGGAGAAGUUUGCCCGCGUGGAAGCCGAGUUGCACCAGCUGCUGCUGGCCUCAGGCCGUGCCCAUGUGCUGUGGACUACAGACAUCUAUGGGCGCCUGGCUGCAGACUACUUUAGCCUGUGACCUCCAGGCUCUGGGCUUCUGCACAGUCUGUCGCACCUUCCACCUCGCCGAGGUCCAGGCUCUUCCAGCAGGAGGCGGGGCCGGAGGUGGACGUACCGAGCUGUAGGUCGGAUGUUUUGGGGAGGGGUCUGUUCCGGAGGGAGGGCCUCUGUGGGGCUGUUGGGAGCUACCUCGGACGCCCUGGGCUCGCACCCCAGGACUCCGUCCGUCCGCGGAGCUUGCCUGCCCAGGUGCUUGCGCCCCGCGCCCCCUCCCCCACACACACACGCACACACACGGCUCGCAGCACAGGGCUCGCAGCACAGUGCGCACGCAGCUUCCACCCUUUACUGACCGCGCGGGAGCAUGCGCAGAGCGAGUCGCGUCGGCCAAUCCGCGGCCCCGACGUCAUCGGCGCGCGGCCCGCCCCUCAGCAGUGGAUCUCGUAGGCGGCUGGAGGCUGCAGCGGGAGCCCCUGCGCGGGCCCGGCUGUCGUCCCUUCGCCCGCCUCCGCCGGGCCUUCGGCGAAGAGCGGCUUAGAGCGGUCGAUGACGAACAUCUCGUGGCCCCGCUCGUCGCGGAACUCCUCGAGCUGCGCGAAGGGCGCCCCAUUUACCCACCGGGAAGGCUCGCACACCCGUCCCUCCACGUCACUGACACUCGAAGCCCGCAGCCCGGCAACCCACAAGGUGCCCACCUGUGUCCCAGGC